AGGGAUAUAGCUCAGUGGUAUAAGCACCUGCCUGGCAAGCACAAGGUCCUGAGUUCAUAUUCCCAGUAUCCCCC
rnacentral:tRNA from 1 species